rnacentral:lncRNA from 10 species
GGUUCGUGAAAGUUCAAGAACCAUAGAGUAACGACAAGAGCUGUGACUUAGAGAUCCUGUAAAGACACUUUCCACAUCCUCCUCAUUGCAGUUUUGAGACCAUCUGGGGUUGCCAGUAUCCUUCGACUGAUGUGGGACCAGUAAAUCUCAACUCCACCAAAUCCAAUGCCCCCUUUUAACAAUUAUAUCUCUUUUAUCGUCAUGAAGUAGAAUCCAUAGGUAGUAUAUCCUAUGAUAUGGCUUGGAUGUGUGUUCUCUCCAAUCUCAUGUUGAAAUGUGAUCACCAGUGUUGGAGGUGGGGCCUAAUGGGAGAUGAUUAAGUCAUGGGGGUGUGUCCCUCAUGAAUAGCUUGGUGCUAUCCUCACAGUAACAAAUAAUUUCUUAUUCUAUGAGUUCAUGCAUUAUCUACUUGUUUAAAAGAGACUGACACUUCCUUCCUCUCUCACGCUCCUUCUCUCUUGCUUCCUUUCUCUCCAUGUGACACAUCUGUUCCCCCUUUGCCUUCUGCUAUGAGCAGGCGCUUCCUGAGGCCUCACCAGAAGCAGAGGCUGACGCCACGCUUCUUACACAGCCUGCAGAACCGUGAGCCAAUUAGACCCCUUUUCUCUGUAAAUUACCCAGCCUCAGAUAUUUCUUCAUGGCAGUUCAAAUGGACUAAUGUACCCUAUCUAC